rnacentral:rRNA from 1 species
AUGGGGCUGGCGGGGGAGAAGUUCCAGCUGGGGACGGUGGGGGCGCUCAGCCUCUCCGUGGUCUCCUCGGUCUCCAUUGUCAUCUGCAACAAGGCGCUCAUGAGCGCCCUUGGCUUCAUCUUCGCCACCACGUUGACAAGCUGGCAUCUCCUGGUUACAUUCUGUUCGCUUCAUGUGGCAUUAUGCAUGAAGCUCUUUGAGCACAAACCUUUCGACGCAAGGACCGUCAUGGGGUUCGGAGUGCUCAAUGGCAUCUCAAUUGGGCUUCUCAAUCUGAGUCUGGGUUUCAAUUCUGUUGGUUUCUAUCAGAUGACAAAGCUGGCCAUUAUUCCCUGCACUGUUAUAUUGGAGACUCUUUUCUUCAGGAAGAAGUUCAGUCGCUACAUCCAGCUCUCCCUUAGUGUGCUCCUUUUUGGUGUUGGAGUUGCAACUGUGACUGAUCUGCAGCUCAAUGCUAUGGGAUCUGUGCUGUCUUUACUGGCAAUCGUCACAACCUGCAUUGCUCAAAUUAUGACCAAUACAAUUCAAAAGAAGUUCAAAGUAUCAUCAACUCAGCUGCUGUACCAAUCAUGCCCAUACCAAGCAUUGACCCUGUUCAUUGUUGGUCCAUUCCUGGAUGGAUUUCUGACUAACAAAAAUGUCUUUGCUUUUGCAUACACACCUCAAGUUCUGUUCUUCAUCGUGCUGUCGUGUCUGAUAUCAGUCUCGGUGAACUUCAGCACUUUCCUUGUGAUUGGGAAGACAUCUCCUGUAACUUACCAAGUCCUUGGCCAUCUAAAGACGUGCUUGGUUCUUGCCUUCGGCUAUGUCUUGCUGCACGAUCCGUUUAGCUGGAGAAAUAUACUUGGAAUCCUGAUUGCAGUGGUUGGGAUGGGAUUAUAUUCAUACUUCUGCACCCGUGAAGCUCCAAAGCCCACUGAAGCCUCUCCACAAGUCAUUCAGGUGAAAGAAGGCGAAUCAGACCCUUUGAUCGCAGACUCCUUGAACGCCGCCGAGAACGGGGCCGCUGCAGCCACCGACGAGCCUCUGAAGGUCCCCAUGUGGAGCUCCAAGUACGCACGGGCAUGA